UGGUAGGGUAACGGCCUACCAAGGCGAUGAUGUUUAGGGGACCUGAGAGGGUGAUCCCCCACACUGGUACUGAGACACGGACCAGACUCCUACGGGAGGCAGCAGUGAGGAAUAUUGGUCAAUGGGCGGAAGCUUGAACCAGCCAUCCCGCGUGCAGGAAGACAGCCCUAUGGGUUGUAAACUGCUUUUCCAGUGGGCGAAACACUCGUACGUGUACGAGAUUGACGGUACACUGGGAAUAAGCAUCGGCUAACUCCGUGCCAGCAGCCGCGGUAAUACGGAGGAUGCAAGCGUUAUCCGGAUUUAUUGGGUUUAAAGGGUGCGUAGGCGGAUGAAUAAGUCAGUGGUGAAAGGCUGCAGCUUAACUGUAGACUUGCCGUUGAUACUGUUUAUCUUGAGUAUGGUCAAGGCAGGCGGAAUGUGUAAUGUAGCGGUGAAAUGCUUAGAUAUUACACAGAACACCGAUUGCGAAGGCAGCUUGCUGGGCCAUUACUGACGCUGAUGCACGAAAGCGUGGGGAGCGAACAGGAUUAGAUACCCUGGUAGUCCACGCCGUAAACUAUGAUCACUAGCUGUUAGCGAUACACAGUCAGCGGCAAAGCAAAAGCAUUAAGUGAUCCACCUGGGGAGUACGGCCGCAAGGCUGAAACUCAAAGGAAUUGACGGGGGCCCGCACAAGCGGAGGAACAUGUGGUUUAUUUCGAUGAUACGCGAGGAACCCUUACCUGGCUUAAAUGUAGAGUGCAUGAGUAGAAAUACUUCUUUCCUUCGGGACUUUUCUUGCAGUGCUGCAUGAUUGUCGUCAGCU
rnacentral:rRNA from 1 species